GUGCUGGUGGCCUGAGGCAAAAUGUCUGUGUCACACUUCUUCUCCUCCUUCUUCUUCUUUCUUCCUAGAGACGGGAUCUCACCAUCUUGCCCAGGCUGGUCUCCUAACUCCUGGGCUCAAGCGAGCCUCCCACCUUGGCCUCCCGAGUAGCUGGGACCUACUGAGUCAUACUUGUAGUCACAUCCUUUUCCUUUCUCCAACCCACUGGUUAAUCAUGAAAGGCUCUUCUGAUUGGCUGCCUCCUGGCAGUAGUGCCUCAGCGCGACGGUUCGGGAGCAAAUAAAUAAUUCCCGCUGGGAAGCUGUUUCUCAGACAGGAGCAGCGACACCCCUGCCACGCCUGCCGCCUGGAGUUGAGUGGGGUCCCCGUGCCGCCUUCAGCGCGCCUCCUUAUGCACCUCUACCUCUGCUGCAGCGUACCUCUUCCGCAGCCCUAGCGGCCUCCCCGAGGGGCGCCGCGGCCUCGGCUGUCCCUCCCCUGCCUGGCACGACCACCUGACCCCCAGCGACCCAAGAAGCAAGUUGUGUUUGCAGACGCAAAGGGGCUGUCGUUGGUAUCGGUGCACUGGUUUGAAGCCACUGCGGGCACAGCCUGAAGAGGGCCGGUGUCCCGCGUGCAGCCUCCCCGGCCCGGCCUCCUCCUGCUGCAGAACCGCCCCCCACGCCCGGGCUGCUGCGCCCCAGGAGGGACUAGCGGGUAUUCAGGGAUGCCCGCACUCUCGGGGGCGAGCCUGCA
rnacentral:lncRNA from 10 species